rnacentral:rRNA from 1 species
UGGGGAAUUUUGGACAAUUGGGCGAAAGCCUGAUCCAGCAAUGCCGCGUGUGUGAAGAAGGCCUUCGGGUUGUAAAGCACUUUUGUCCGGAAAGAAAUCCUUGGCUCUAAUACAGUCGGGGGAUGACGGUACCGGAAGAAUAAGCACCGGCUAACUACGUGCCAGCAGCCGCGGUAAUACGUAGGGUGCAAGCGUUAAUCGGAAUUACUGGGCGUAAAGCGUGCGCAGGCGGUUUGCUAAGACCGAUGUGAAAUCCCCGGGCUCAACCUGGGAACUGCAUUGGUGACUGGCAGGCUAGAGUAUGGCAGAGGGGGGUAGAAUUCCACGUGUAGCAGUGAAAUGCGUUGAGAUGUGGAGGAAUACCGAUGGCGAAGGCAGCCCCCGUGGGCCAAUACUGACGCUCAUGCACGAAAGCGUGGGGAGCAAACAGGAUUAGAUACCCUGGUAGUCCACGCCCUAAACGAUGUCAACUAGUUGUUGGGGAUUCAUUUCCUUAGUAACGUAGCUAACGCGUGAAGUUGACCGCCUGGGGAGUACGGUCGCAAGAUU